rnacentral:pre_miRNA from 1 species
GUUAUACUCCCUCCGUUCCUAAAUAUAAGUCUUUUUAGAGAUUUCAAUAAGAACUACAUACGGAUGUAUAUAGACAUAUUUUAGAGUGUAGAUCCACUCAUUUUGCUCCGUAUGUAGUUCGCACUGAAUCUCUACAAAGACUUAUAUUUAGGAACGGAGGGAGUAUUAA